GGCCGGGUGGCGAAGUGGCCUAACGCGGAGGUCUGCAAAACCUUUAUUCCGUGGGUUCAAAUCCCACCCCGGCCUCCA
rnacentral:tRNA from 1 species